rnacentral:rRNA from 1 species
AUUGAACGCUGGCGGCAUGCUUUACACAUGCAAGUCGAACGGCAACGAGGAGAAGCUUGCUUCUCUGUCGGCGAGUGGCGAACGGGUGAGUAUAGCAUCGGAACGUGCCAAGUCGUGGGGGAUAACCAAACGAAAGUUUGGCUACUACCGCGUAAGCUCUAAGGAGGAAAGUAGGGGACCUAAUAAGGCCUUACGCUAUUUGAUCGGCCGAUGUCGGAUUAGCUAGUUGGUGGGGUAAUGGCUCACCAAGGCAAUGAUCCGUAGCGGGUCGGAGAGGACGGUACGCCACACUGGGACUGAGACACGGCCCAGACUCCUACGGGAGGCAGCAGUGGGGAAUUUUGGACAAUGGGGGAAACCCUUAUCCAGCCAUGCCGCGUGUAUGAAGAAGGCCUUAGGGUUGUAAAGUACGUUUGUUAGGGAAGAAAAGCUAGUGUUUAAUAAAAAGUAGUGAUGACGGUACCUAAAGAAUAAGCACCGGCUAACUACGUG